GGUGCAAACAGGCAUUUUAUAUCAAAGCAUAAAAUAACUAAUUUUAAAUCACCAGCAGAGAUUUUAAUUACUACAUAACGUUUCUUUCGUGAUCUUUCAAGACAUACAAAACUUACGGAGGAACUAAUUGCAGAUCAAAUCGAAAUAUAUAACAAAAAAUUAUUCCUUAUGCCAUUGAGAACAAUAAACAAAGCAAACGGUAUAAGGUGUGAUUGGGUUGAAAGCAGAGCUCAAAAGCAUUUACAAUAGAAGUGGGAAUAUACAAUAAGAAAUUCUAUAGCGAUAACAGUAUGAAUGACGUACACUAGCAAUUACAACAACUACGACAUAGCGGUGAUAUCAUUCUUCGAAUUUUCGAAAAUUCGAAAAACAAUUGGAUUCAACACUCACACAGCGCGGUAUAGCAAUCAGAUUGCGUGCAAAACGAAGGCAAACCAUGAUGAAUGAUGCAAAGAAAAUAAAACAGGGAGUGGACGUGUUUGGCUGUAUGUGUUUAUGUACAAGAGAGAAAAAUGCAAUUGUAUGUGAAUAUUUGAAAGAAUCCUCUCCGUGGUUAAAGAUCAUUGUCAAAAAUAAAGUAAAAAUAUUUAACUAAUGAAUUUUUACCACUAUCCUGCUUCAUUUCUCCUUUUCUACUAAUUUAAAUAGUCGUUAAUGAACGACAACUCUGCAUACGGUUAAUUCACGAAUUUAAUUAGUAUAAUUUUGUACUGUCACACAUUUGUGCAACAAUUUGCACUCUUCUUACCCAUCUUUCUUGUUGCUCCCUUAUCCGGCGCUCAAAUACACGUACUCGGUCUGCUACAAAUUCACUCGAUAUCUCGUUGUUGUUAUUUUAUUGCUGCCGCCCCGCUGUUGUGUGUUAUUCGAAAAGCACCACACCAAUAUUUCUAUCUAUAUACUCUUCUCACGUUUACGGAACAGCACUCAACACAGCACAAAUUGGACAAUUUCUUUAACCACUACCACACUACUCCGUAACCGAUACCACACACACACGCACCAACAUGUACGUACGAUUAUCGACUAACCAAUUGACCGAUUCCAACUAGAAUUUUAUCCUUAGCUUAUUUCCAAUUGCAACACCUUGUAUGCACCUUUCCGCCCUUUUUCACUUCGUUGAUUUUUCUACUAUUUUUCAAAUAUAAUUAUUACUGCCCAGACAGUUGCGAUUAACUCCUUCUCUUUACACUUCUAAUAUUUCAAUAAUUCUUUCUAAAGCACCACUGGACAAAAGUUUUGCAAAUACAAAUAUACCGAGAUCGAAAUGAAUUUACAAUUCUAUUGAUUUCUAACAUUCACAGAUAAUCUUCUACAGCCUGUUUAUUAGGUAUUUUUUAUACUAAUUUUACAGAGUUGUGUGCUACCGUUUACAAUCGACACCACUAAAUAGGACUUUUCUUAAUUUUGCGCACCAAAAAUUAACCACCACACACCCGCUUUUAUUAACUAUUGUCAGAGCAGAGUCUGCUUCAAUUUUCGAAUGAACACUAUACCAGAGAACUCUAUUUCGCUGUUGUCGAGCGAAAAAGGCAAUGUCAAAUAGUUGCGCCAAAUUCAUAUUCUAUUAAUAUGUGAAAUAAGGCCCUAACAGGGUGAUUCGCAUAAUAUAAACAAAUGUUUAGUUAAUGUAAAAUGGUCUAGUGAACACUAAAUAAAUAUUCGUAUGUAAUGAAAUAAAUACAAAAUAUAAAACGUAAGUCACGUGACGCAUCGCCGAAGUAAAAUUGUUAUAUUUUGUGCUUACAAAGCUUAAUAUUAGUAUAAUCAAGACAGUCACCCACAAAUAUCAUUAAUACAAUACUUAUACGAACGCGUUGUAUUUGUUUUUUGCUAACAGUGCCAAAACUAGUAAAACCGUUAACUUCGCUAUUUUUUAUAGCAUAAAAUGGUAUAUAAACAUCAUAAUAUUGAUUGUGAUGGGUCAGUUUGUAUGGCAGCUAAACGAUCUGAACAAUUUCUCCGGAUAUUGUAACUUUGUCUGGGACAAUGAUCCAUGCCAAAUUUCAUGAAGAUAUCUCGUCAGUUGUUUGUAUGUUAGCUAUAGCUCAAAAACUAAGGGAAUAGUUCGCGUAUGUACUGACAAACGAACAUGUAUAAAUUUACUCAGCUCAACAUGCUGAUCAUUAAUAUAUACAUAUAUUUUAUAGGGUCUCCGAUGUUUUAUUUUUGGUAUUACGAACUUCUUGGCAAACUUAAUGGCACAUCGGAAUAAAUGAUUGCCACAACGAUUACAAAUACCAUCAAACUCUGGGACUGAUGUAAAUUGUUGCACUUUUCUGAUAAGCAUGUUGUAUACUAACCUCGACCAAAAGUCAGCUUAAUUGCGCCUAUUAAAUGCGGGCAACUAGAUCUAAGGUAGUGUAGUUGUUGUAGCGACAGAAAAUUUCGAGGAAUGCUGCCAAGUUGACAGGCUAAAAACUAAGAUAGUUAAAUAGUAUAAAGCCAAUUGUUUUCUCUUUUAAUCCAUCUUAUAUAUAGUAUAUUUUGUGUGAAAUGGGCGUAAGUUUCUUUCAAUAACAUUACCAACAAAAAUAAUAAUAUGUAUGUAAUAUAAUAAUCCAUAUAUAAUUCCAAGAAAAAAAUUGUAAACAACUAUUUAUAUUUUCUCAUACAUCAUUGAUCGUAUUCAUACUUAUUAACUUUUUAAAUUAUUAUUGUAGAUGUAUGUUUUUAAAAUUUUUUUUAAUAUAAAUAUAUUUUUUUCCUUUUUGAUUGCGGACAAUUACUGAUAAAAUUAGCACGACAACUGUAGUCGGCCAGCAAAAAGAAACGCAUUUUAUGACAAUAAAAUAUUUUCUAGUUCAAGUA